UUUAAGUCUUACAGCCACUGCCUUGUCAUUUCUAGUGGAAAAAUCUUUAGGAAUCCUGGAUCACUUUUUGAGACACUCGAAAAGAAGGCCUUGGAGGCACCAAUGUUUACUCUGCUUUUGCUGACUCUAAGCUAAGAAGAGGACGAGGGCCAUAAAACAAUGGAAGGAUUGGGCAAAGAUCAGGAAACAACCUGGAGAAUAAAGACCCUGGACAGAUUUUCAAGCUAGUGUAAAAAUGUUCAGCACCUCACAAAUACCUUUCACAACAGUGGAAAAUGAACCUGAGUGCUUCUUGCCCACUACAGAUGAAAGCAAUCAGGGAUCAAUUAAUAAAUGGUACUUUUCCACAGCCGUAAGACUGUGAUUGCAAAAGGGAUCGAAACAUAGAUCGACUUGGGAAAGACCACCUUGCUAGCUUGACAGGGUCACAAAACCACCAAGGAAGUCAUUUAUUAUUGUUAUUCAUUAAAGAAAGGUUAUGGUCAUCUUUCUAAUUACUUUUCUCACUUAGGACUGCUAACUUUUUCACAGAUUGCUUGUCCCUUGUACUGACCUCUGUAUAAAAUCGAUUCAUAUUUGCAUUUUUUUGUGCUCAUUAUGGUGAAACAUAACACAGACUGAAAAUAAACGUAUCUUUGUAAGAGCA
rnacentral:lncRNA from 1 species